AAGUCAUGUUGAGGGAAAUUUCUGAGCAAUCCCUUAUAUCUCUCCCAAGCCUCAUAUAAGGAUGCGCAAUAUUCUUGUUUAAAAUUAGCAAUGUUUUUCUUCAAACU